rnacentral:lncRNA from 1 species
CGCAAGAUAAGCACGGACUGAAUCAGGUACACGCACCUGCCGGGGACGCACUGACCGAGGUGCGGACGGCGGUACCAGGACAGGUAAAGCCGCGAACACUCGGACCUAAGAACUUGACAGGUACACCCUGCCUGAUGAAGCUACGUACGGCCAGGUGCGCAUCGAGUGAAUCAGGGUGAGAACCUACUUCUUCAUAAAGAGAAUUUGGAGGGAGCUUUUUGUUCUGCGGGGACAACAUCUGGAUUUGAAUACAUCCAUGCUCAAAAGGAGAUUUCUCAUAAUGGACCCAACUGAAAGCACUCAGAGUACAAGGACCGGUGAGCUUUCAAAAGGAGACACUUCGGGAGACUCGCCAGGGGCCCUCGUAUCCCCGGCAGCGCGAGUUUUGGAGGUCAGUGGAGGGCUCUCGCAUCAUGCAUGUAACUUUCAUACUCAAAAACUUACCUUCAUCCUGCAUCCCUCACCCCCCUGCAGAAACUUGGGGCUUGAAUUCAUUUAAAAACAUUUGCGGUUUCAGAAGCCUUCUUUUUAUUAUGAAGCUGCCAAGGAGAUCUUAGAAUGAAAGGCAUUUUUAGAGAUGAGAAAGAAGGAAGCCAGGCCAAGGCUGGGCCGGCUCUCAGCCGUGGGUCUGUAAAGGUGACACGUGGGACAUGGCCACCUGCAGACCCUGCAGGCGGCUGGGCAGAGGCACCCACAGGGACCUGGGUUUGAAUCCCUGCUCUGCCAGUCAUUUCCACAGCGAUCUUGGGGGAAGUUGUGUAACCUCUGGGCCCUGCGACGCCCUUUCCUGGAGCCUGGAGCUGGAACGAAGCCCCUUGGAGCCCUGACAUCAGAGGUGACGUUAGUCUUCGCAGGCAAUGACUCGGCGGAAUGUGAUGCCACUCCCUAACCCGUGUCCGGACUGGCAGAGUGUGUGCCGCCUCCCACCAGGUGGUCUGGCUGCUUUGAUGGAUCUCCUAACUUCUCUGCACCCCAGAGCCCUCAGUGCUGGCCAGACCUUCACUCACUCCUGGGUGACAACCCCGUUCUCAGAUAGUGGGUCCCACAGGCUGGCCUGUGGCGCCCCCUGCUGGUGACUGCAGGGAGAAGGAUGCCCUAAGCCAAAGGAAGUCCUUCCUGGGGUCUAAUCUCUACCUUUUGCAUGAUGAGGCAGCUGAGGUGGCUCGCUUUCUC